AACGAACGCUGGCGGCAGGCUUAACACAUGCAAGUCGAACGCCCCGCAAGGGGAGUGGCAGACGGGUGAGUAACGCGUGGGAACGUGCCCUUCGCUUCGGAAUAGUCCCGGGAAACUGGGUUUAAUACCGGAUACGCCGUAUUGGGAAAGAUUUAUCGGCGAAGGAUCGGCCCGCGUUGGAUUAGCUAGUUGGCGGUGUAAUGGACCACCAAGGCGACGAUCCAUAGCUGGUCUGAGAGGAUGAUCAGCCACACUGGGACUGAGACACGGCCCAGACUCCUACGGGAGGCAGCAGUGGGGAAUCUUGGACAAUGGGCGCAAGCCUGAUCCAGCCAUGCCGCGUGAGUGAAGAAGGCCUUAGGGUUGUAAAACUCUUUCGCCGGAGAAGAUAAUGACGGUAUCCGGAGAAGAAGCCCCGGCUAACUUCGUGCCAGCAGCCGCCGUAA
rnacentral:rRNA from 1 species